CCCUCCCCCGCCUGCCUCCCGCCUAACCCGCCAUCGCUCCCCCCCUUCCCCCGCCGAGGCGAAGCUGGAGCCGCAGGAGAUCCGCCGGGCACAGGGAGGGGACAGGGAUGGGUUGUUUUCUCUCCCCCGCCCGCCCUGAGACCUGAGGAGAUGCAGCCCAAGUUCGCCGCGAUGACUCUGCUGCUGGCACCGGGGCUUCUCCGCGGCAUCGCAGCCUCCGGACCGCCCGAAUCCUGCUCCCUCUGAAUCGCCGGCGCCGGGUUAAAGCUCAGUUCUCAUGUUGUGGUUGCUGGGCUGCCGCGCUCCCGUUUUGCCAUGGGAGGUGGAGGAAAAGGGAUUGUCCGUGAGUCAACACCGAAAACGUGAUUAGGAGGAACUGCUUUCACUAAUCUGUUUCUAACCUUUCAGUCCAUGUUGGCCUGUGACCCCUCUCAGCUUUCACAUCCAGCCUGAUCAGCCCACAACACUGGUCUCCCUAUGGAAGCAGCUGUUUGUAUUUGGCUUUGAGGUCUCAUGGAGAAGCCGAGGAGGGGGAUGGCUCUUCAUAUCCAUGAAGCCUGGAUACUUCUGUUUGUGCUCCCUGGUUUGGUCACUCCAGCUGCCAUCAAUCAUGAAGAUUACCCUGCUGAUGAAGGGGACCAGGCCUCCAGCAAUGACAAUCUGAUCUUUGAUGAUUACCGGGGGAAGGGCUGUGUGGAUGACAGUGGCUUUGUGUAUAAACUGGGAGAACGUUUUUUCCCAGGACAUUCCAACUGUCCCUGUGUCUGUACUGAGGAUGGACCCGUUUGUGAUCAACCAGAAUGCCCUAAAAUCCACCCAAAGUGCACAAAAGUGGAACACAAUGGAUGCUGUCCAGAAUGCAAAGAAGUGAAAAACUUUUGUGAAUAUCAUGGGAAAAACUACAAAAUCCUGGAGGAAUUUAAGCCCUCGCCAUGCGAAUGGUGUCGCUGCGAGCCCAGCAAUGAAGUUCACUGUGUUGUAGCAGACUGCGCAGUCCCCGAGUGUGUCAACCCAGUCUAUGAACCAGAGCAGUGUUGUCCUGUCUGCAAAAAUGAAAUUCCUGAAAUGGCCAGAUUUUAAGAUUGCACUUAACCCCCCUUCAGUCACAGUCUAUGCAAUGUGCUGGUUGGUUGUGCAGAUGCAAGGCAGUGUGCCCAGCCCAGGAGAAGAAGUGCUCCCCAUGCCGGAUUUGCUGGACUCCACCAUCCUCUCCCCAGCUCCUGGCAGCUGAAGGCAGUAGCAUAGCGUAGCCACAUCACCCUGCAUGGUUGUGAAUUGCUGAUGGCAGCCAACUUUUGGGGCACUUGGUCACCCCCAGAGCCACCACCCCCUUCAGGUGUCAGCCUGAGGGCCACGGGAAGGACUGGAUAAUGUUCUUUGUGAUGACCAGCAGCAGUGGGAGCUGUGCUGCUCUUUUAGCUCAAUUAAACCAACAGAGGAAAGAAAGGAUUCAUUUGAAAGCUGGUAGAAGAUCAAGACUGAAAAUGAGGAGGUGUAUUUGGCAGACACGAACCUGACAAAAUGCCCCAGUGCUUGCUUUACUGUUCCUUGAGAAGUCAUUUCCCUGAAACUGAUUUUCAGUGGAGCUCAUCCAUCCCAUCACUUCAGGCCAAGGGGUUAAAGGCAUGUAGGUGCUGAACUUGCUGGUGAGAAUUGCACACAAGAGCAUCUGUCAAGAGCUGCGUCCUCCAUUGCUUUGGAAAUCUCCAGCACUUGGAUUAUACAGAUACUUAAAUGCCCUGCUGAUUCAAGAUUCAUCUGCUCAUGGUCACAGCUGUUGGAAGAUGACUCUAUAACAGUGAAAAGCUUUGGAAAAGUUAAAAACUUCCAAAAUUGGCCAUCCUGGUGUUGGACAGCUUCAGGGAGGGCUGAGUUGAAUCUGCCACAUUGUGAAGUUUGAGAGAAAGUGAGACUGGGAGCAACGAGGGAGAGGAAAAGCCUUUAGAGAACAAAAUAUCCCUGAACUGAGCAGCACUUCAUGUGAUUAAGUCCAUCCCACAGCUCAGUGCUCACACAAAGCUGGGUGCUGGGCUGUGCAGUGACAGGGAUGCUGCUGGAAAAGCUCCAUUCCCAGGGAGCUGCAGCCUGGAGCCAGCAGGACAGCAGCCCCUGAACAAGGUGUGUUCACCUGCAUGGGUCACCUGCUGCUCCCUGAGCCUCUGUGUUCUCUGCCUCUGCCCAGCAAGCAAGAAAGGGAUAAUUCACUAAUUAAACACUGCAAGAAAAGGCUCUGCCUGACUGCUGAGGGCCUGAGGAGCUGAAAGCGUUACACUGGAUUUGUACCCCAGGUCCUAACCAUGCCUCCCUGCUUCCACCACAGCAGAGUUCAGAUGGAUGUGACAGGCACCCUGAAGAGAAGGGUCAGGGAGGAUCAGGAGAAGCCAUUUGUGGGAUGGGACUAGCUCCAGAGCUCUCUUUCAGCUCUCAGAGAUGUGGGAAACAUGUUACCUGGUCCCAACUGCUUUGCGGGCACCACGAUAAUUCCCGCGGGCAUCGAGGUGAAGGUGGACGACUGCAACAUCUGC